GACGAACGCUGGCGGCGUGCUUAACACAUGCAAGUCGAACGGAAAGGCCUGCUUUCCCUUGUGGAUUGCGGGUACUCGAGUGGCGAACGGGUGAGUAACACGUGAGUGAUCUGCCCCCAACUUGGGUAUAAGCCUGGGAAACUGGGUCUAAUUCCCGAUAGGACUGCAGGGUGGUGCCUGUGGUGGAAAACGAUUUUCUAGUGGUUGGGGAUGAGCUCGCGGCCUAUCAGCUUGUUGGUGGGGUAAUGGCCUACCAAGGCGGCGACGGGUAGCCGGCCUGAGAGGGUGGACGGCCACAUUGGGACUGAGAUACGGCCCAGACUCCUACGGGAGGCAGCAGUGGGGAAGAUUGCACAAUGGGCGGAAGCCUGAUGCAGCGACGCCGCGUGGGGGAUGACGGCCUUCGGGUUGUAAACUCCUUUCGACCGCGAGGAAGCCACCUGGUUGGAAGGGUGGUGACGGUAGUGGUAGAAGAAGCACCGGCUAACUACGUGC
rnacentral:rRNA from 1 species